rnacentral:pre_miRNA from 1 species
GAACAGUGUCGCCGUAGAGCUGGGGUUUCGAAGCGGCAUGUGCCUUCUGUCAUGCAAUGCCCUUGGAAAUCCCAAACAUGCUGGCGACGACA